UACGUAGGGUGCGAGCGUUAAUCGGAAUUACUGGGCGUAAAGCGUGCGCAGGCGGUUUUGUAAGCCAGAUGUGAAAGCCCCGGGCUUAACCUGGGAAUGGCAUUUGGGACUGCAAGGCUGGAGUGUGGCAGAGGAGACUGGAAUUCCUGGUGUAGCAGUGAAAUGCGUAGAUAUCAAGCGGAACACCGGUGGCGAAGGCGGCCUUCUGGACAGUGACUGACGCUGAGACGCGAAAGCGUGGGGAGCAAACAGG
rnacentral:rRNA from 1 species